AUUGAACGCUGGCGGCAGGCUUAACACAUGCAAGUCGAGCGGAGCGAGGGUGCUUGCACCUUAGCUUAGCGGCGGACGGGUGAGUAAUGCUUAGGAAUCUGCCUAUUAGUGGGGGACAACAUUCCGAAAGGAAUGCUAAUACCGCAUACGCCCUACGGGGGAAAGCAGGGGAACUUUGGACCUUGCGCUAAUAGAUGAGCCUAAGUCGGAUUAGCUAGUUGGUGGGGUAAAGGCCUACCAAGGCGACGAUCUGUAGCGGGUCUGAGAGGAUGAUCCGCCACACUGGGACUGAGACACGGCCCAGACUCCUACGGGAGGCAGCAGUGGGGAAUAUUGGACAAUGGGCGGAAGCCUGAUCCAGCCAUGCCGCGUGUGUGAAGAAGGCCUUUUGGUUGUAAAGCACUUUAAGCGAGGAGGAGGAGCUCUAGGUUAAUACCCUAGAUGCUUGGACGUUACUCGCAGAAUAAGCACCGGCUAACUCUGUGCCAGCCGCCGCGGUAAUAC
rnacentral:rRNA from 1 species